CUCUGUCUCUCUCCCCGCUCGACUUACGAAGUGAACAAACAGUAAAGGAAAAAACAGAUUCUUUUUCUUUUCCGGGCGAAGGAAAAACAGAUUCAGUAUAAAGAGAGAGGCCCCUUGUUAAAAAAGACACCCCGGCCAGAAAAACAGAAAAAGAAAUAAAGAACUCUCUCUCUCUCUCUCUCUCUCUCUAAAAUGCCUAUGCUCUGUGCAAAGCAGAGGAAGCAUCUGAUUCUCUGCAUGCUAAGUUCUCACACAUUCUGCUGUUAAGGUUUCCUUGUUGGGAAACCGGGGUUCCUCAUUCCGCUUCUUUUGUUGGCCAUUCUCUCUUCUAUGAACUUCUCCGCAAAAAAUGGGUGAAGAAUCCUUAGCUACAGUACCCUUUGACAGGGCAGUUGAACAGGCAAUUGUAUCCAUAAAGAAGGGUGCAUAUCUUUUGAAGUGUGGACGAAGAGGGAAGCCCAAAUGUUUCCCUUUUAGGCUUUCUACGGAUGAGAAAUAUUUGAUUUGGUAUUCCGGGCAGAAGGAAAAGCAAUUGAAAUUAAGCUCAGUUAAGGAGAUAAUUUCAGGACAGAUACACUUUCAGGGGCAACUUCAGCCCGAAAAGGAAUGUCAGUCAUUUUCACUGAUAUGUGGUGAACGCUCACUUGAUUUGAUAUGCAAGGACAAAUUUCAGGCUGAUAGUUGGAAUUUAGGCUUGAGAGCUUUAUUAUCCAGGUGUCAACAUCAUAGGCCGUUAAGUAGGUCAAGGAGCCGCAGAGGGGUACAAACUUGUGUCAGCAGUCCUGCUGGGUUCUUUCGAAGAAAGCACCAUUUAGGACUUUUGGAGGAUGCCGACGAACUUUCACAGGUGCACAGUUUAUCUGGGAGUCCUACUCUGUCUCAUUCAGAAAGGUGUUUUUCUGAUGGCUUAUCAUAUUCUUCUGAUUGCUUCUGUUCAUCGGAGUCAGUCUUAUCAAAUGUGCAGAAUACACUGGCUAUCUCAAUUCCAAAUUCUCCAUAUAUUGAAGCGGAUAAUCUCAAGAAGGGGCUACCAACUGUGAAUACUAAACAUGAAAAGAAUGCGCCUCUUAGACUUUCUAUGCCUUGUGGAUCUUGGCAAAAAGAUAAGAACAAGGUUUUGAAGGAUGUUUUGCUUUGGGGUGAAGGAAUGGGAGGGGGGAUUAUUGGUGGUGGGGUGGAUUGGUUUGGGAACUAUAAUGGAGUGCAAGUGGAUGCUUUAUUACCCAAAAUACUGGAAUCCGCCAUGAAGUAUGACGUGCAGAACUUAUCUUUAGGAGAGAAACAUGCUGCCUUAGUCACCACACAUGGGGAAGUAUAUUGCUGGGGUGAGGAGAAGGGGGGUAGGCUGGGGCACAAGAUAAAUAUAGAUGAGAGCUUGCCUAAAAUUGUUGACUCUUUAGCAGGGGUCCGUGUAAAAUCUGUUGCCUGUGGUGAAUAUCAAACAUGUGCCCUAACUGACUCUGGUGAGCUAUAUACAUGGGGUGAAAAUGGUUGUGGUGGUGAUAUAAGGGGUGAGAGAAAUAGAAGUCAAUGGUUGCCACGAAAAAUUUCUGGCCCUCUGGAUGGUGUAACUAUAUCAAAUGUCUCUUGUGGAGAAUGGCAUACGGCAAUUGUUUCCACCUCUGGGCAGUUAUUUACAUAUGGAGAUGGGACUUUUGGGGUUCUUGGGCACGGUAAUCUUCAGAGUGUUUCUCAGCCAAAAGAAGUUGAAUCUCUCAAAGGUUUGUGGGUAAAAUCUGUUGCGUGUGGAUCAUGGCAUACCGCUGCUAUUGUUGACAUUGUGGUUGACCGUUUCAGAUUUAAUGCUAAAGGUGGGAAAUUAUUUACAUGGGGUGAUGGGGAUAAGGGAAGGCUUGGGCAUGCUAAUGAAGAGAGAAACCUUUUACCAACAUGUGUUGCACAACUAGUGGAUCAUGAUUUUGUUCAAAUUUGUUGUGCAAGAACACUGACAGUUGGGCUUACCAAUUUGGGUACCGUUUAUACAAUGGGAAGUGCAAUGCACGGGCAGUUAGGGAAUCCACUGGGCAAGGAUAGAUCAAUCACAAUUGUUGAAGGGAAGCUUAAAGAAGAGUCUGUUAAGGAGAUAUCAUCAGGUUCAUAUCAUGUUGCUGUCUUGACGUCUAGUGGAAAUGUGUAUACAUGGGGAAAGGGUGCCAAUGGGCAGUUAGGAUUAGGUGAUAUAGAAGACAGAAACUUACCCACUUUAGUAGAGGCUUUGAGGGCCAGGCAGGUGGAAAGUAUUGCUUGUGGAUCAAGUUUCACAGCUGCAAUCUGUCUACACAAAUCUAUUUCUGUUAGUGAUCAGUCAUCCUGUACUGCAUGCAAAUUAUCUUUUGGAUUUACAAGGAAGAAGCAUAACUGUUACAACUGUGGUCUCCUGUUCUGCCAUUCAUGUUGUAGUAAGAAGGUUACAAAUGCCUCUCUUGCACCUAAUACUAGCAAGGCUUUUAGAGUCUGUGAUCCAUGCUUUAAUAAUCUGCAGAAAAUGACAAAUUCAGGUAGGCUAUUAAAACUAGAAAGUUGCAGUCCAAAACAGCACUUGACCCAACGAAAACUCUUCCCUGAUAAGAAAGAAGAAAAAGGACUUUUAGCUCCAAAAUGGAGUCAAAUGAUGUCAAUUAGACAAUCUUGUGAUGACGGAAGCCAAUAUGGUGGAAGGAAGACCCUAGAAAACAAAGGGGAAAAUCAGCAGCAUUUAGAACCUGUUUCUUCUUUGUCAGGUGGACUGCCCCAAUGGGGAAAAGUCCCAUGCCCUCCUUUAUUUAAAACAUAUUGUCCAGAAAAUUCUGGAGCACUUAUUCCUCUAUCAGAAAGUCAGCCAUAUUCUGUUUCCCCCCUUCAUUUUGCAUCUGCUAUUUCCAGUGACUUAAAUGGGCUGAAAGGCAUAUCACAUGAGAUGCUCAUUGAAGAAGUGCAGAGGCUGAGGGCUGAGGCAAGAAGCCUUGAAAAGCAAAAUGAGAUUAGAAGCCAGAAGAUUCAAGAAUGUCAAAAAAAAAUUGAGGAAACGUGGUCCCUAGCUAGGGAAGAGACUGCCAAGUGUAAGGCAGCAAAGGAGGUCAUAAAAGCGUUGGCAUUGAGGCUUCAUAUGACAUCAGAGAAAGUUUCUACUAAAACGCAACUGAAAUAUGGAGUUCCUGCGACUCCGCCUCAAAUCUCACCAGCAUAUAAAGAUAGCCUUGAGCUGGUGUGCCCUAUGAUUGUGGCCACUAAACUGCCUCCUCAAGUAGGAUCACCAAAAGAAGUAGAUAGUCUAUCUAAUACUCCUAUUAUAUUCUCUGAUACUUUAAGAUCCAAGUACGGGAGAGAUGUUUGCGAUGAAAACACCAGAUCAAUGGAGAAUUCACAUGUUACAAGAACCGAAUCUCCACAUAAUGGAGCUAAAGCAUCAACACUUGAAUGGGUUGAACAGUACGAACCCGGUGUAUAUAUCACAUUUACAAUUUUGCCAAGUGGACAUAAGGGGCUGAAACGAGUGAGAUUCAGCCGAAAACGAUUCACCGAGAGGGAAGCAGAGGAAUGGUGGGGGGAGAAUCAAGUUAUUGUGUAUCAAAAGUAUGACAUUGAAGGCUAUAGCAACUCUUCAUAAUCAGAUGAAGGGCUAAUUUUUAUUUGCCCUAUAUAAGUGUUGGUCUGGUCUACCUUAACAAAUGGCCGGUGGAUAACAUUUAGGCAUUACAAGGAAGUCUGUGCAGUGGAUGAAAAAUCUUAAGUACUUUAGGCACGAAUUACUUGUCAGCUAAUAUGUUGGUUAACCAACUGUAUGGUGAGAUGAUAUUGUCACUCCUGUUGCUUUGGAAUUGUUAUGACCACUCUUCUAGAUGAGAUAAAAAGAAAGAUGGAUGGAGAUUUGCUGAAGAUGGAUAUGACCUGCAUCAAACUUUGUGCUUACCGAGUUCAGAAGAAUUAUAAAGCUUCCGUUGAUGAUGGCCUCUAACAUAGGACCUGGCAGGUUUUCCAGAACAUAUUGGUUAAGCAGGUAUAACAAAAGCCAGAGCUUUUACAGGAAGCUGGUGUUUUGAUGGAACUUAAUUCUACCCUCGUGACUAUACCCAAAAUUCCAAAUUGAUGGCACCCAGAAAUCUUUAUGCUAGUUUUUCUUACCGGGGUAUUGAAUGUAUUGCAACUUUAUCUAAUGGUUGAGAAAUACUGAGGUCGAUGGAAGAGGUUUGGUCUAGAGAAG